rnacentral:rRNA from 1 species
GUACGGGGGGGGGCAAGCGUUGUUCGGAAUUACUGGGCGUAAAGGGCUCGUAGGCGGCCAACUAAGUCAUACGUGAAAUCCCUCGGCUUAACCGGGGAACUGCGUCUGAUACUGGAUGGCUUGAGUUCGGGGAGAGGGAUGCGGAAUUCCAGGUGUAGCGGUGAAAUGCGUAGAUAUCUGGAGGAACACCGGUGGCGAAGGCGGCAUCCUGGACCGAGUACUGACGCUGAUGAGCGAAAAGCCAGGGGGAGCAAACGGG